rnacentral:lncRNA from 1 species
GUCAUCUUCUCUCUUUUUCUUCCACUUGCAGCUGCGGUUCAAGCCUAGCUGGUUGGCUGCUCCCGACAGCAACUGUAAAUUCCAACGGAGCUAGUACUCGCGGCUAAGCCCUCUUGCUGGGUGUUGGCUCCACCACUGUUUGUGAGUAUUUAGAUGUCAAACUCAUACAUAAAGAAAUCUACAAAUUACAUCAAGAACCAUGCUCAUACAUAAAUCCAUUUGAAUGAAUUGAUUUUUAGAGUUUGUUAAUGAAACCUUAAACAAUUAGAUGAAGGCCUCAUUGUUGCCUCUGCUCAAUGAAUACCCCAAGCGGUGGCUAAGGAAAAAUCAAGACAUAUAUUCAAGAUAGAAUCGAAGAUUCCCAAUCAGCCUUUGUCACUCACAGAUGGAAGCUCGAAGUCAAAGAAAAAAAGACAAAGUGUCUACAAAUCGGGAGGGUAAGAUCUGAUUUCUAUGGAAGAUGGAAAAAUAUGGUAGAAUUUUAUAUUUGAGUAUAGAACCAAUUAGAUGAAAAAAUAUAAUUUAAGAAUACAAAAUACUAUGUGGAGGAAAUCGAAACCAUGAUCAUGUGAUUAAAAGCCACGAGCUCUACCGACCGUGCUAAGAGGUUAUGAUCAACAUAAAGGAUUAUGAACCAUGAAAUUUACCCAUAAUUUAAAAUUCUAAUUUGUAAAUCAAUUUUAAUUUCUAUUUCUAACUUGUCCACCUUACCCCAUUUCUUCUUCAAAUUUAACCCACCACCCAUAUUUCUCUCUUAGAACGUUGUCCUUCUUUCACUCGUUCAAAAAUAGUAGCUCCAACAACUUUCGACGAUCAUUGUCUAAAUAUCAAAAAUCUUGAACUCAAAAUCCAAAAUCUUCGACAGCUAAACAAUAUGUUCCUUCAGCACUCAUCAAAGGAAUCAUCUCCUUUGAUUAGUGGAAUCCCUUUUACGAUCUAGGUGCAUAUUAAAAAAUUGGUGCUUUAUUAUCAAGAGCAAUCAUUUUAUCAAAAUGCAUUUGCUCCAAUCACAUUCUCAUUUAUGGAAACAUGGAAAUGAGAUUUCAUUAUUUAGAUUUGGAUUCACUUCACGAAGCCUAUGUCAUUCAAUUUGUGGUUUGUUCCGUUGUAAUGUGGAAUUUACCUAACGACUUUCUAACUGAAUUCGCUCAUUAUUCAUUGUUAUAUGAUAUAGAGUAUUAUGGGUUGGGUUACAAUUCAGGAAACGUAACUUAGCUGGACAGUGGACAUUCUUUGAGAUUGAAAUUUUAAGCCUAAAAUCAAAUUCUUGAUACAGGGUGCAACGUUUUCCUCAUCCAUUGCCCUUUAGGGCAUUGCAUUCGCUUCUCGAGGAUAUUUCCCAUGUGUAUUCGAACAAAACAUAUAGAGUUAUGGAUUUUAGCAUUGAGAAUGAGAAUCAUUAUGAGUUGACGAUUUGAAUAGAUAUUCCAAUCGUAAAUGUUACAAUGGAGUUGGAUUUUAUAGGAGUAUGUCUUUCUUUAACUGCUGCUAAGGAGUUUCGUGUUGGUAUAUAAAUGAUGAAGAAAUAUGGAGUGGAGGAAUCAGAGACUCAAUUACUAAGGCCAAUAUUAUCCUUUUGCCCUUAUUUAAAAAUUAAUAAUGUGGUCAAAAUUAUUUUGAUCAACUAACUGUCAAUCCUUUCACUUGUCAUUUUGUUACAACAAAAUGAAAGGUUUGAAAUUGUGGGUGGCAUAAAU